CUUGCUUGGCUAAUCAUGUGGACCGCCCUCCAAGAUGGUCACUGGAUUUCCCCAAGGGUAUAAGGCAAGGUGUUGGUCAGGACGUGAGCUGGAAGAAAACCUUUACAGAAUCACCCACCAACCAAGGACCUAUCGGCUUGGUAAACAUAGGCAGCAGAGGCGGCAUUAUGAGGAGCUAGCACGGCAGUGCGGCUGGAAGCCCAAAGGCAGC